GUAAGUACAAAAUAUAAUGUUGACUUUGCAAACAGAUCGUGUUCGAACGGAGAAACAAGACGACGCGUUAAAUGGAAGUAACAAAUCGCAGAGAGUCAGGACUUUUGGCACAAUUAUAUACGCAAGCCCGAAUAAAGGUUGACGGUCACAACUAACGUGUAUACAAGCCGAGAAAUCUGGUUUCUUCAUAUGAUUGCACGAGUCGGUUAACAACGAUUUUGGAGUUUUCAGUUGUUUGGGCCACGAUCCGCGAGAUAGUUGAGCGAGGAGAGGAAACUGGAACAAGUCCACACGCAGGCGCCUAGCAUUCGCACACACUGUAUUAUUAAUAUAAUUAUUAUUAUUAUAGACUUGUAGCGCAACUAUAUAAUAUCGACUAAGUGCGAACUCGGCUUUCGUGGGACAUUUGUCAGCCCGUCAGAGUGAUAAGAUUGCACUCGUCUUGACUGGCGCUCGGGACGCGGAUAGAUUAUAAUAUUAUAUUACACUCUUUACGAGAAAUAUCUCACAUCAUCAAGUUAUCAACGCGAUUUAUAAACCGUAGACCUAUUAAACGAAAUCAGUGUCUUGUGCUUGAAAUGCCUUUGGCGCCAUUCAAAGUCUCGCGUAGUACGCGUCUCUUAUGCGGAAUGAUAAAUACCGAUAAUAUUAAUUUUCUCCUCGAGUUCCCGUUUCGGCAUUAUCGCUGCCGCCGGCACAGGGUUGAUGUAUUAUACAUGUGCGAGUGUGAUAAAUGUAUACGCGUGGUCCGUGCAUUUAAUUAUAAAUAACUGUAAAUCUGCUGUAGAUUGGUAAUGGCCGAGAGGUUUUGUCGCGACAAUAAUCUUAAAACGCGAUUCGCUCGGUAAAUAUGAUAACGGUGUGAUGUCGCGCUGUCGGUGCA